UUGCCUACGGGAGGCAGCAGUGAGGAAUAUUGGUCAAUGUGCGGAAGCCUGAACCAGCCAAGUCGCGUGAGGGAAUAAGGCCCUACGGGUCGUAAACCUCUUUUGCCGGGGAGCAAGGGCCGGGACGAGUCCCGGUCCGGAGAGUACCCGGAGAAAAAGCAGGGGCUAACUCCGUGCCAGCAGCCGCGGUAAUACGGAGGAUGCGAGCGUUAUCCGGUUUUAUUGGGUUUAAAGGGUGCGUAGGCGGGCUUUUAAGUCAGCGGUAAAAAUUCGGGGCUCAACCCCGUCCGGCCGUUGAAACUGGG
rnacentral:rRNA from 1 species